CACGAGGGGGGCUAGUGUUGUUCGGAUUCACUGGGCGUAAAGGGUGCGCAGGUGGGCUGGUAAGUUCGAUGUGAAAGCCCCGGGCUUAACCCGGGAAUGGCAUUGGAUACUACUGGUCUGGAGGAUCGGAGGGGGGACUGGAAUUCUUGGUGUAGCAGUGAAAUGCGUAGAUAUCAAGAGGAACACCAGUGGCGAAGGCGAGUCCCUGGACGAUACCUGACACUGAGGCACGAAAGCCAAGGGAGCAAACAGG
rnacentral:rRNA from 1 species